GACGAACGCUGGCGGCGUGCCUAACACAUGCAAGUCGAGCGGGGUUGAGGCGAGAGGUAACUCGAGCUUCUACCUAGCGGCGGACGGGUGAGUAACGCGUGGGCAACCUGCCUCAAGGUUUGGGAUAACAGCCCGAAAGGGCUGCUAAUACCGGAUAUGCCUAUGGCCUCGCAUGGGGCUAUGAGCAAAGGGGAAACCCGCCUUGAGAUGGGCCCGCGUCCCAUCAGCUAGUUGGUGAGGUAACAGCUCACCAAGGCGACGACGGGUAGCCGGCCUGAGAGGGUGACCGGCCACACUGGGACUGAGACACGGCCCAGACUCCUACGGGGGGCAGCAGUGGGGGAUCUUGCACAAUGGGCGAAAGCCUGAUGCAGCGACGCCGCGUGAGCGAAGAAGGCCUUCGGGUUGUAAAGCUCUGUCUGGAGGGACGGAACAAAAUGACGGUACCUCCGGAGGAAGCCACGGCUAACUACGUGCCAGCAGCCGCGGUAAAGUCACGUCG
rnacentral:rRNA from 1 species